GACGAACGCUGGCGGCGUGCUUAACACAUGCAAGUCGAACGGUAAGGCCCUUCGGGGUACACGAGUGGCGAACGGGUGAGUAACACGUGGGUGAUCUGCCCUGCACUUCGGGAUAAGCCUGGGAAACUGGGUCUAAUACCGGAUAGGACUCCGGACUGCAUGGUCUGGGGUGGAAAGCUUUUGCGGUGUGGGAUGGGCCCGCGGCCUAUCAGCUUGUUGGUGAGGUAAUGGCUCACCAAGGCGACGACGGGUAGCUGGUCUGAGAGGAUGAUCAGCCACAAUGGGACUGAGACACGGCCCAUACACCUACGGGUGGCAGCAGUUGGGAAUAUUGCGCAAUGGGCGAAAGCCUGACGCAGCGACGCCGCGUGAAGGAUGAAGGUUUUCGGAUCGUAAACUUCUUUUUUAGGGGACGAUUGUGACGGUACCCUAAGAAUAAGGGCCUGCUAACUACGUGCCAGCCGCCGCAGUAA
rnacentral:rRNA from 1 species